ACCACUCUGGAAAGCAGGGUGACGGGGGAGCGACGCUCCCCGGUUCCCUCACCGACGGUGCAAGCCGGGUCACGUGUGUGACGCGGUGAAGCUCUCAGGUCGACAUGACAGAGGGGGAGGC
rnacentral:ncRNA from 2 species